AGUGAACGCUGGCGGUAGGCCUAACACAUGCAAGUCGAACGGCAGCACAGUAAGAGCUUGCUCUUACGGGUGGCGAGUGGCGGACGGGUGAGGAAUACAUCGGAAUCUACUUUUUCGUGGGGGAUAACGUAGGGAAACUUACGCUAAUACCGCAUACGACCUACGGGUGAAAGCAGGGGAUCUUCGGACCUUGCGCGAUUGAAUGAGCCGAUGUCGGAUUAGCUAGUUGGCGGGGUAAAGGCCCACCAAGGCGACGAUCCGUAGCUUGUCUGAGAGGAUGAUCAGCCACCAUGGAACUGAGCCACGGUCCAGACUACUACGGGAGGCAGCAGUGGGGAAUAUUGGACAAUGGGCGCAAGCCUGAUCCAGCCAUACCGCGUGGGUGAAGAAGGCCUUCGGGUUGUAAAGCCCUUUUGUUGGGAAAGAAAAGCAGCAGGUUAAUACCACGCUGUUCUGACGGUACCCAAAGAAUAAGCACCGGCUAACUUCGUG
rnacentral:rRNA from 1 species